UACGUAGGGUGCGAGCGUUAAUCGGAAUUACUGGGCGUAAAGCGCACGUAGUCGGCUUUGCAAGUCGGGUGUGAAAUCCCCGGGCUCAACCUCGGAAACUGCCGUCGGAUACUAGUUCGGCUAGAGGAAUGGAGGGAGACUGGAAUACUUGGUGUAGCAGUGAAAUGCGUAGAUAUCAAGUGGAACACCAGUGGCGAAGGCGAGUCUCUGGACAUUUCCUGACGCUGAGGCACGAAAGCCAGGGGAGCAAACGGG
rnacentral:rRNA from 1 species